rnacentral:rRNA from 1 species
CCUACGGGAGGCAGCAGUGAGGAAUAUUGGUCAAUGGGCGGAAGCCUGAACCAGCCAAGUAGCGUGCAGGAUGACUGCCCUAUGGGUUGUAAACUUCUUUUAUAUGGGAAUAAAAUGUUCCACGUGUGGGAUUUUGUAUGUACCAUAUGAAUAAGGAUCGGCUAACUCCGUGCCAGCAGCCGCGGUAAUACGGAGGAUCCGAGCGUUAUCCGGUUUUAUUGGGUUUAAAGGGAGCGUAGGUGGAUUGUUAAGUCAGUUGUGAAAGUUUGCGGCUCAACCGUAAAAUUGCAGUUGAAACUGGCAGUCUUGAGUACAGUAGAGGUGGGCGGAAUUCGUGGUGUAGCGGUGAAAUGCUUAGAUAUCACGAAGAACUCCGAUUGCGAAGGCAGCUCACUGGACUGCAACUGACACUGAGGCUCGAAAGUGUGGGUAUCAAACAGGAUUAGAUACCCUAGUAGUC